UCUUUUCUUUUGAUAGGAGAGUUUUUAAAAUCAGUGUUAUUUUUGUAAGUUUAAGAGAAGUUUGUGUAUUGAAUUUUUUAUUUUUAAUAUUAAAGAGCUUUGUUAAACUUAGACUUAAGUUUAGGUCAUUUUGGGGGUUUAGCUCAGUUGGCUAGAGCAUCGGCUUUGCAAGCCGAGGGUCAAGGGUUCGAGUCCCUUAACCUCCAUUGGGCUUAUGUCCUAAAUCGUAAUUAAGUAUGUUUUUAAGUAACUUUGUUAAAGUAAUUGUUGGAAUGUGAAACAGAGGAAGUUAAAAUUUCUGGGUUAAGUUGAGAUCUGUUGAUAUUAAGAAGAAUCUCUAGAAGCAAAAGCAAGCUUUCGAUAAAACCUGAAGUUGUUUCGCUAAAGUGCAAGGAUUAAACAGGAUUGUAUUUUCCAGUAGCCUAUUUUAUAAACGAUCUGCAUUUAGUAAAUAGUUUUUAGUUAAGAAAUAAUGUAGAUUGCUAAGUGUGAUGCCUGAAAGAAGGACAAGUAUUGUAGCGAGCCUAAAUCCUUGUUAUCGUUGCCAGUAUUUAGUGGUAGGGAUUCGGAUAAGACUGCCAUUUAUAAGUUGGAGGAAGGCAAAGAUUGCAUUAAAUCGUUAUUGCUCUUAUGUUUUAGGUUACAAGUUUGCCACAAUAACC
rnacentral:tRNA from 1 species